ACGACGGCGUCACUACGCCCUCUAAGGCCCCGCGUGAGUCUGGAGAUGGAGGGGCCGCGGUGGGGGUGCCGGGAGGACCCCGGGCUGCUGCAGCACCCCGGAAGCACAGCCGCGGGCCGCCCCCUCCUAGGCGCUCCGGCCCACCUGCAGCUGAGGCCGACGCUGGGCUUGCAUUUCCUCCCCCAGCUGCACACAAGCACAGACCCGGGCGAGUCACCGGAGCCGCCGCCCCCGUGCCCGCCCCGCCCUGUGUGCCUGGCGACGGAGAAGGGAAAGCGCUUCCCGUGCUAAGACCUCCCUGCGGAACGCGAGGCCUGGGCCGAGGGAAAAAUGAGACUGUCAGGGACCCAGCAGCCAGUUCUUCAGCCGCCCCGACGAGGGCCUGUUGCUCUUUGGUCUCAGACAUUGGAUUUUGGAGAACAUACUAGUGUUCUCUGAGCCUCCCAGCAGUGGUGCUCUUUGUGGGUGCAGGAGGCCUGUCUGGGGUCAGGAGAACUUGAGCGGUGGAAGCCUGUGAGGAAGGAGACCUUACUUCCAUGUUUCCCCGUGUGGCUGCUCAGGGGAGCUGUCACAUGGGGGGCUGUGGGCGUGAGAGAUGCAGAGCCCUAAGCCCUGGGCUGGCCUCAGGCGGCGGCGCUGGAGUGAAGGCCGUUCCCCAGGCCGGCUCAGGGUGGAGCGCCUGCCUCGCUGGGUCCUCCAAGGUCCACGGCCCUUCCUCAACCUCCCCAGACCUACUUGCGUUUAGCAUCUGUCAAAGUCUUCAGCGUCCGAGUAUCUCCAGGAGGACUCCCUGAAGCCAGUGGUGUCAGCGUUUGCUCAAGCGAGGACUGCAUUCCCAGAACCCACUGUCAGGCAUGUGCUCUAGCGUCUCCUGAUUCCCACCUGACCCAACUGGCUGCUAACAUUGCCUGUUGAGACUGAGAAGACAUGAAAACCCUGGGCAUCUCCCGCGAGGCUGCAGACCGAGCAUGAGGAUGUAGACAUUGUUCAACUCGCAGGCUGGCUGUCAGAUUGGGGUUUCUUCUGCUUUGCACAUCUGUGAGGACUUCUUUCACAGAGAAUGUUUUAGGAGUGUUUUCAGAAA